GAUGAACGCUGGCGGCGUGCCUAAUACAUGCAAGUCGAGCGAACAGACGAGGAGCUUGCUCCUCUGACGUUAGCGGCGGACGGGUGAGUAACACGUGGAUAACCUACCUAUAAGACUGGGAUAACUUCGGGAAACCGGAGCUAAUACCGGAUAAUAUAUUGAACCGCAUGGUUCAAUAGUGAAAGACGGUUUUGCUGUCACUUAUAGAUGGAUCCGCGCCGCAUUAGCUAGUUGGUAAGGUAACGGCUUACCAAGGCAACGAUGCGUAGCCGACCUGAGAGGGUGAUCGGCCACACUGGAACUGAGACACGGUCAAGACUCCUACGGGAGGCAGAAGUAGGGAAUCUUCCGCAAUGGGCGAAAGCCUGACGGAGCAACGCCGCGGGAGUGAUGAAGGUCUUCGGAUCGUAAAACUCUGUUAUUAGGGAAGAACAAAUGUGUAAGUAACUAUGAACGUCUGGACGGUACCUAAUCAGAAAGCCACGGCUAACUACGU
rnacentral:rRNA from 1 species